rnacentral:rRNA from 1 species
AUUGAACGCUGGCGGCAUGCUUUACACAUGCAAGUCGGACGUGUCGCGAACGGGUGAGUAACGUAUCGGACCGUACCGUGUAAUGGGGGAUAACUUUCCGAAAGGACAGCUAAUACCGCAUAUUAUUCCAGCGGCCGAUGUCUGAUGAGUUGGUUGGCGGGGUAAAGGCCCACCAAGGCGACGAUCAGUAGCGGGUCUGAGAGGAUGAUCCGCCACACUGGGACUGAGACACGGCCCAGACUCCUACGGGAGGCAGCAGUGGGGAAUUUUGGACAAUGGACGCAAGCCUGAUCCAGCCAUGCCGCGUGUCUGAAGAAGGCCUUCGGGUUGUAAAGGACUUUUGUCAGGGAAGCGGUACCUGAAGAAUAAGCACCGGCUAACUACGUGCCAGCAGCCGCGGUAAUAC